rnacentral:rRNA from 1 species
AUUGACCGCUGGCGGCAGGCCUAACACAUGCAAGUCGAGCGGAGCGGCGGACGGGUGAGUAAUGCCUAGGAAUCUGCCUGGUAGUGGGGGCUAACGUCCGGAACCGGGCGCUAAUACCGCAUACUCUUAGCUGAGCCUAGGUCGGAUUAGCUAGUGGGUGGGGUAAAGGCCUACCAAGGCGACGAUCCGUAGCUGGUCUGAGAGGAUGAUCAGUCACACUGGAACUGAAACACGGUCCAGACUCCUACGGGAGGCAGCAGUGGGGAAUAUUGAACAAUGGGCGAAAGCCUGAUCCAGCCAUGCCGCGUGUGUGAAGAAGGUCGUCGGAUUGUAAAGCACUUUAAGUUGGGAGGCGUUACCAACAGAAUAAGCACCGGCUAACUUCGUGCCAGCAGCCGCGGUAAUAC